AGAAAAGGGGGCAAUUGCUUAUAUACCUUUGAAAAAUUUUCGACUUUUUGAUUUAUUCCUCUUAGAAGGCUAAUAUUAAAAAUAUCUUUUUUACGUUCCAGAUUAUUUCAAAUAUACCCAUAGAGUUAAAUUCUGUUGGUGAACUGUUAGCAAUAGCCUUUAUCUGUAUGAAAUUACUAUUUUUUCCUUUCACAUAUACCCUUUAACUAUUACCAACUUUUCUUAUUUGCUCUUAAGUUAUGAGCAAAAAAGUAUUUUGAUUUCUGGUCUUUUCAAAUAUAUCUUUCUUUCAUCACCAACUUUUUUUUAUUUGUCCUUAAGUCAAGGACAAAAAAUGUAUUUUAAUUUUUUUUAAACUCUAGUAGACAUUUUAACUCACGUUUAACCUGAGAUAAUUUAAGGGUGAUAACUAUAGGGAUACUUUUGAAUAACGGAGGAACAUAUAAUGAGUAUAUUGGAAACAAAAAAAGUUAGAAAUAAUUAAAUAUUUCUGAAGUUUUGAGGAGUAUAUAGACAAUUAUUUUUUUUAAAAAAAUUAUUAUAUUUAGGACUUGUUUGGCCAAGCUGCUAG
rnacentral:lncRNA from 1 species